UAGUAACAACGAACUAUGAGAAGUCAGCAGAGGUCAUAGUACCGGAAAAAAAAACUUCGGGAAGGAC
rnacentral:ncRNA from 1 species